CGGGGUAACGGCCCACCUAGUCUUCGAUGGAUAGGGGUUCUGAGAGGAAGGUCCCCCACAUUGGAACUGAGACACGGUCCAAACUCCUACGGGAGGCAGCAUG
rnacentral:rRNA from 1 species